rnacentral:piRNA from 1 species
UGGGGCUUUCCAGCCUGACCGAAACAGGCCU